GAGUUUCAAAGUGUGUUCUUGUAUCAUGAAGUCCUCAAGGUCAUCCCUGGUUCAGAGACUUUCUAGAAUGAUGCACAGACUUUCUAGCGUACAGUGGUGCCAUCUCUCCCCACAGAGUAACACAGGACGUGUUUCAUUCCCAACAACGCUGCAUGGCCGUCCAUAUUAAGGGCUCCCCUUCAGGGAGCUCAGUAGAGACUCAGCGCCUGUGGUGUUGACCAGAAGCUGGCCAUGCCCUGCCUGGAACACACCAAACUCCAGACUCAGAAGGAAAGUGCAUCGAGGGCUAUAGUAUUUGUACAGUCUGGGCACAGUGAACCCUCAUUGUCAUUCAGGGAACAGUUCAAGUGCCAAGUUCCCAGAAGCCGUCUGAGGCUCCACCUCCCAGCAGACAUUUAAAGAAUAGCAGGUGCAAGCCUGUUGGGCUAAUUCUUUUCUGCACAAUGCCCAAGAUUAGAAAUUUUGAAAAAUAAACUAUAUUUGACUUUAAAAGAUAUUAAACAUAAUUUUAUAGCAAAAUAAAAUAUUAUCAAAACAGAAAGACAAAUUACAAAGUUAGAAAAUUAAAACAUAUGACAAAGGAAUGAGCUAUCUGAUAUAUGUG
rnacentral:lncRNA from 1 species